rnacentral:rRNA from 1 species
GACGAACGCUGGCGGCGUGCUUAACACAUGCAAGUCGAACGGAAAGGCCCUGCUUUUGUGGGGUGCUCGAGUGGCGAACGGGUGAGUAACACGUGAGUAACCUGCCCUUGACUUUGGGAUAACUUCAGGAAACUGGGGCUAAUACCGGAUAGGAGCUCCUGCUGCAUGGUGGGGGUUGGAAAGUUUCGGCGGUUGGGGAUGGACUCGCGGCUUAUCAGCUUGUUGGUGGGGUAGUGGCUUACCAAGGCUUUGGCGGGGAGCCCGCCUGGGAGGGUGGCCGGGCACAUUGGGACUGAGAUACGGCCCAGACUCCUACGGGAGGCAGCAGUGGGGAAUAUUACACAAUGGGCGGAAGCCUGAUGCAGCAACGCCGCGUGCGGGAUGACGGCCUUCGGGUUGUAAACCGCUUUCGCCUGUGACGAAGCGUGAGUGACGGUAAUGGGUAAAGAAGCACCGGCUAACUACGUG